AUUGAACGCUGGCGGCAGGCCUAACACAUGCAAGUCGAACGAAGUGGCGAACGGGUGAGUAAUACGUGGGUAACCUGCCCUCCUUUUUGGGAUAAGCCUUGGAAACGGGGUCUAAUACUUCAUAACGGGGGAUGGGCUCGGGGCCUAUCAGCUUGUUGGUGGGUUGAUGGCCUACCAAGGCGGGGCCGGGUAGCCGGCCUGAGCGGGUGACCGGCCACAGUGGGACGGAGAUACGGCCCAGACUCCUACGGGGGGCAGCAGUGGGGGAUAUGGCACAAUGGGCGAAAGCCUGAUGCAGCGACGCUGAGUGGGGGAUGAAGGCUUUCGGGUUGUAAACCUCUUUCGCUAUCGAAAGGGUAGGUGGAGAAGAAGCGCCGGCUAACUACGUGCCAGCAGCCGCGGUAAUUC
rnacentral:rRNA from 1 species